UUUUGCCCUAGAAACUCCUUUUGACUCUCACCAUGGCCUGGAUCCUGCUUCUCCUUACAGUUCUCAGUUACUACUCAGGUGUCAGUUCACAGUCACCUUGGAGUCAGCCUGCCUCAGAAUCUGCCUCCGUCGGACAAACAGCCAAAAUCUCCUGUACUACCAACAGUGAAGGUAACACCAUUUCUUGGCAUCAGCAGAAGUCCGGACAGGCCCCUCGCUAUGUCCAUUAUCCAGGAGGCAGCAGGGGAGACGGGAUCCAAGAUCGAUUCACGGCUUCUGUCUCUGGCAGCACUGGCUAUUUAACCAUCACCAACAUCCAGCCUGAAGAUGAGGCAGAUUAUUACUGUCUCAAGUGGUACAGCAGUGCUAGCCAGUUCCACAGUGGUAAAAACUAA